UACGUAGGGUGCAAGCGUUGUCCGGAAUUAUUGGGCGUAAAGAGUGUGUAGGCGGUGCUCUAAGUCCGCUGUGAAAGUCGGGGGCUCAACCCUCGGAUGCCGGUGGAUACUGUCGGGCUUGAGUACGGAAGAGGCGAGUGGAAUUCCUGGUGUAGCGGUGAAAUGCGCAGAUAUCGAGAGGAACACCUGAGGUGAAGACGGGUUGCUGGGCCGACACUGACGCUGAGUGCGCGAAAGCCAGGGGAGCAAACGGG
rnacentral:rRNA from 1 species